rnacentral:rRNA from 1 species
GGAGUUUGGGCCGUGUCUCAGUCCCAAUGUGGCCGUCCGACCUCUCAGUCCGGCUACAGAUCGUUGCUUUGGUGGGCCGUUACCCCGCCAACUGGCUAAUCUGACGCGGGCCCAUCUCAUACCACCGGAGUUUUUCACACUGUGUCAUGCGACACUGUGCGCUUAUGCGGUAUUAACAGUCGUUUCCAGCUGUUAUCCCCCAGUAUGAGGCAGGUUACCCACGCGUUACUCACCCGUCCGCCACUAAGAAUAUACAAUCAUCUGCCGAAGCUUCUGAAGCGUAUAUUCUCCGUUCGACUUGCAUGUGUUAGGCACGCCGCCAGCGUUCAUC